CUCCAUCUGUCGGAGGCCCACGCCAUCCUGUAAAGCGCGGGAGAGGGAGGAUUUCCUUGUCCUUCUGGUACAUUAUACCAGGGGAAAUGGUAGAAACAAUCACCUACUUCAGAUCUCAUCUCUCUCCCCAGACAGCUCAGUUCUACCUAAUGUCCUGAGAGGAGACAGAAGAGUGCAUCCUAUUCACAUCAGUCACUCAGAUCAUUGUGAACAAGCCCCCCGUGUUCAGGCUCUCUGUCUGUGUGGAGCAGGGAUGGGAUCGUACAGUUAGCCUGAGGACAUAUCCAUGUAUUCACAGCUAGAUCACCAACUAUCAACCACCUCUAACACUAAACCUGUCAGAAACACACACACACACACACACACACACACACACACACACACACACACACACACACACACACACACACACACACACACACACACACACACACAAACACACACUACAAGAAUAUUGCGGGAUUUUUUUCUGCAAUCCACUACAAUUAACAGGAAGUAGAGAUACAUUGGUGCAGCUGAAAAAAAGGAAGCAUACAAUUCUAAUCUGAUUAUU